rnacentral:lncRNA from 1 species
GUAUCUACAUUCUUGACCGGCGGUUCCGCAGCCUGGAUGAUUCCUGCUCGCAGCUCACCUCCUUCCUCUACAGUUUCUGUCAGCAGAGCCGGCGGCAGCGUAUCAUCCAGCGGAACCGCACGGAGCGCCUCUCCGACCUUCUGGACUGGAAAUACCUAGGCCGGGUAGGACCCCCACUUUCCUAUCCUCUCCUGGCAAAUCAGCAGCUCCUGGCUAGGGGUCUUUGGUGCAGGGUGCAGGGUCUCAUCCUACUUGUAACAGUUGCUGUCCCUUUAAGCAAUGAACCAGGCCGAUCGCGAUGGUGGCUCAUGGUUGUAAUCCCAGCACUUUGGGAGGCCUAACAGGAAGGAUCGCAUGAGCUCAGGAGUUAAGAGACCAGCCUGGGCAACAUUUUAUUUUUACUAAAAAUAAAAAAAAAUCAGCCGAG